UCGAGCUGUUUUGCAAGGAGGAAUGGGAAAAAUGUUCAGUCUCUCGAUGUGCAAAACUGAUAGAGACAUACCCCAAUCGAUUUACACCUGUAAUCGCAGCAAAAGGUGGCGCUACAAAGUAUUAACUUAAGGGGGCUGAAUAAUUUUGCACGCCCAAUUUUUCAGUUUUUGAUUUGUUAAAAAGUUUGAAAUAUCCAAUAAAUGUCGUUCCACUUCAUGAUUGUGUCCCACUUGUUGUUGAUUCUUCACAAAAAAAUACAGUUUUAUAUCUUUAUGUUUGAAGCCUGAAAUGUGGCAAAAGGUCGCAAAGUUCAAGGGGGGCGAAUACUUUCGCAAGGCACUGUAUAUGAGAGAUAAACAGGUGUAGUGUAUAGGUGUGUGUGUAUAUAUAUAUAUAUAUAUAUGAGAGAUAAACAGGUGUAGUGUAUAUGUGUGUGUGUGUGUAUAUAUAUAGAGAGAAACAGGGCGUAUAGGUAGUAGUGUAUAUGGUUUAUGGUAGGAUGUAGGUUUAUGGUAGGAUGUAGGUUUAUGGUAGGAUGUCAGUUUAUGGUAGGAUGUAGUUUGUGAAUCCUGUCUCAGGGUUUCGAAGCCUGGUCUGGGCAGCGUUGGGUUUCCUGUAGUGUUUAGGGUGUAGGGUGCAGGGCUUACCA